rnacentral:lncRNA from 1 species
UCCGUGUAAGAGACCAAUCUGUGCUAGCGUGCUGGCAUCACUUUCGACUUGCGCAGUGAUCAUCUUAGGUAAAAGAUCCAAUUGGUUUGUUUGUCGAAAUACGGUAGUGACACUGUCACGUACUCCGUACUUUGUGUGAAGAGUGCUCUGUAAUACUUAGGGUAAAUGCGUGCGUAGUUCAUGGGUGGAGCCGAUUUCUAUACAGCCUGUCGAUUCACAAAUUUGAAAACGAUACGUGCUCCGCCCACUAAACUAGUAUUGAUAAGGGAAAGUGAGUUUCCCGGCAUUAUUCGCUAACCAGAAUGUGGCAGAAGAGAAGCCGUCUAGCCCGACCCAAAUCAUGCGGAUCAUUCAAGGACAACUACGUAACUACAAAGCGCAGGAGUCCCCUGGAGCCAUGGCAAAUCACUACCCGAUGGCUUUGAAUAUAAGUGUAGUGAUUCUAAUAGGUUUGGUAGCUGGGUGUUAAGAGGACCUUGAACGUUGAUGAUAAAAUGAGAGUUCAUGAGUGGCAGCAGAAAGGCCAGCUUCAGGCUGAUCAUGACGACAAUCUCUUGGCAUCACCAGAUUGUGCCGUUGUAACCGCGGGCUUUCCCCUUCCUCUUUUCCUACCCAAUGCCAUUCUUAUAAAAGUCGACAUACCUUCAUUAUGGACUGCAACUUAUUAUCGUUGUGAUGGAAGAUCUUCCCGAAGGAGGCAAUGUCAUCGGCCGCAACCCAAUAUGAUUGCACAUGUCGGUACACAGUCGAAACAUGAUGACUGGAUGCAGUCGGCAAAGUAGGAUAUCUGAGCGGAAUUUAUCGAUGAUGGUGUCGCUUAAUAUUUGACGAUAUAAUUCCCCAGAGGUGCAGCGAAGAUCCUGGCGGAUGGUCACUAGCCCCCAUGGUUCGCAUUGUUCAGCCAUAUCAAAGUAAUUUUUAACAUUUACCUCAUCAGAUACAUGAACAAGUUGUAUAGGUGCAUCGCCUAGAAGUCCAAAUAGACCCGACCUCGCACCAGUAGCAAAGUCAGUAUGUAUAACAAUAACCCGCAUAACAACCAUCCAGCUAGGCAGUCGUAUAAGUGAAUCCAUCAACUCUUUAGCGGAUACACGGGUGGUUCGAAAGUAGCUAAGAGAUAAAGAACCUCCUUUACUUGCUUUAGAGGCAUCUAGUGAAAGGCUUUGAAGUGGAGAACCCUCACUUGGGAAGUCUGCAUUAUAUGCAGGUGUCCAAUUAAGAUGUAUAGAAUCUGGCAUUCGAUCCAACCAUCCCUUAGUAAGAAUA